GGGCCCGCACAAGCGGUGGAGCAUGUGGUUUAAUUCGAUGAUACGCGAGGAACCUUACCAGGGCUUAAAUGUAGUGGGACAGGUCUAGAGAUAGACCCUUCUUCGGACUCAUUACAAGGUGCUGCAUGGUUGUCGUCAGCUCGUGCCGUGAGGUGUCAGGUUAAGUCCUAUAACGAGCGCAACCCCUAUCGUUAGUUGCCAGCGAGUAAUGUCGGGAACUCUAACGAAACUGCCAGUGCAAACUGUGAGGAAGGUGGGGAUGACGUCAAAUCAUCACGGCCCUUACGUCCUGGCUACACACGUGCUACAAUGGCCGGUACAAUGAGAUGCUAAACAGCGAUGUUAAGCUAA
rnacentral:rRNA from 1 species